AUGGUAGUCAUGGGCAAGGAAAAUCAGACUCAGAGAAGAAUCGAUUUGGUUUUCAAAAGGAAAAGAGAUGGCAUAAGUGAAGUUGAGGAAGACUUUGUAUUGCCCUUGCUUGAAUUGGAACAACAACAGACUGAACAACAACAUAACCAAGAUGGAGGAGUUCGAACAAAUGAAGCAGUUACAUUCCUAGGCAUUGAGUUCUUGCAGCGAGACCCUGGAUUGCGCCCUCAAAUUUGGCAAUAUCCAACAAAAUGGAGAGAUACUGUGAUGAGAGCAUAUUUGAUGUUAGGUCCUAUGCAACCCCGUCCGGAGAACUAUAAACCUUCAGGUGAACCAGGGCAUCAGCGCCGCUUCCAGUAUAGUUGGUUUGGUGAUUUUCCAUCAUGGCUAGAGUACUCAGAGGACAAAAAUUUCUAG
rnacentral:rRNA from 1 species